GCCUUGAUGUGUAGGAUAGGUGGGAGGCUUUGAAGUGUGGACGCCAGUCUGCAUGGAGCCGACCUUGAAAUACCACCCUUUAAUGUUUGAUGUUCUAACGUGGAUCCGUGAUCCGGGUUGCGGACAGUGUCUGGUGGGUAGUUUGACUGGGGCGGUCUCCUCCUAAAGAGUAACGGAGGAGCACGAAGGUUGGCUAAUCCUGGUCGGACAUCAGGAGGUUAGUGCAAUGGCAUAAGCCAGCUUGACUGCGAGCGUGACGGCGCGAGCAGGUGCGAAAGCAGGUCAUAGUGAUCCGGUGGUUCUGAAUGGAAGGGCCAUCGCUCAACGGAUAAAAGGUACUCCGGGGAUAACAGGCUGAUACCGCCCAAGAGUUCAUAUCGACGGCGGUGUUUGGCACCUCGAUGUCGGCUCAUCACAUCCUGGGGCUGAAGUAGGUCCCAAGGGUAUGGCUGUUCGCCAUUUAAAGUGGUACGCGAGCUGGGUUUAGAACGUCGUGAGACAGUUCGGUCCCUAUCUGCCGUGGGCGCUGGAGAACUGAGGGGGGCUGCUCCUAGUACGAGAGGACCGGAGUGGACGCAUCACUGGUGUUCGGGUUGUCAUGCCAAUGGCACUGCCCGGUAGCUAAAUGCGGAAGAGAUAAGUGCUGAAAGCAUCUAAGCACGAAACUUGCCCCGA
rnacentral:rRNA from 1 species